UCCCUGGUGGCUCAGAGGUUAAAGCAUCUGCCUGCAAUGUGGGAGACCUGGGUUCGAUCCCUGGGUGGGGAA
rnacentral:tRNA from 1 species